rnacentral:rRNA from 1 species
AGAGUUUGAUCCUGGCUCAGGAUGAACGCUGGCGGCGUGCCUAACACAUGCAAGUCGAACGGACAUCUUCGGAUGUCAGUGGCGAACGGGUGAGUAACGCGUAGGUAAUGUGCCCUUGCGCUGCGAAUAACAGCCUGAAAAGGCUGCUAAUACGGAAUUGUCUCCAUUCCCGGCAUCGGGUUUGGAGUAAAGAUUUAUCGCGCGAGGAUCAGCCUGCGUCCUAUUAGUUAGUUGGCGGGGUAACGGCCCACCAAGACGACGAUGGGUAACUGGUCUGAGAGGAUGAACAGUCACACUGGAACUGAGAACGGUCCAGACUCCUACGGGAGGCAGCAGUGAGGAAUUUUGCGCAAUGGAGGAAACUCUGACGCAGCAACGCCGCGUGAGUGAUGACGGCCUUCGGGUUGUAAAGCUCUGUCGAGAGGGACGAGUAGGGACGGUACCUCUCAAGAAAGCCCCGGCUAACUAUGUGCCAGCAGCCGCGGUAAGACGUAGGGGGCGAGCGUUAUCCGGAAUCACUGGGCGUAAAGAGCUCGUAGGUGGAUUUGUAAGUCCGGGAGCAAAUGUCCCCGCUCAACGGGGUCAUCAUUCCGGAUACUGCAUGUCUUGAGGACAGGAGGGGAAAGUGGAAUUUCCAGUGUAGCGGUGAAAUGCGUAGAGAUUGGAAAGAACACCGGUGGCGAAGGCGUCUUUCUGGCCUGUAUCUGACACUGAGGAGCGAAAGUCAGGGGAGCGAACGGGAUUAGAUACCCCGGUAGUCCUGACCGUAAACGAUGAAUGCUAGGUGUGGGGGGUGUAGAUUCCUUCCGUGCCGAAGUAAACACAAUAAGCAUUCCGCCUGGGGAGUACGGCCGCAAGGUUGAAACUCAAAGGAAUUGACGGGGGCCCGCACAAGCAGUGGAGCAUGUGGUUUAAUUCGACGAUACGCGAAGAACCUUACCAGGGUUUGACAUAUGCGCGCCCGGGCCGGAAACGGCCCCUUUCUUCGGAACGCGCAUACAGGUGCUGCAUGGCUGUCGUCAGCUCGUGCCGUGAGGUGUUGGGUUAAGUCCCGCAACGAGCGCAACCCUUGUCGCCAGUUGCCACCGGGUAACGCCGGGCACUCUGGUGAUACUGCCCUCGCAAGAGGGAGGAAGGUGGGGAUGACGUCAAGUCAGCAUGGCCCUUACGUCCUGGGCCACACACGUGCUACAAUGGCAGGUACAGAGGGCAGCGACGCCGCGAGGCCAAGCGAAUCUCAAAAAUCCUGUCUCAGUUCGGAUUGGAGGCUGCAACCCGCCUCCAUGAAGUCGGAAUUGCUAGUAACCGCAGAUCAGCUACGCUGCGGUGAAUACGUUCCCGGGCCUUGCACACACCGCCCGUCA